GGCAGUGGUGGUUAGGCGGUUAAGUCUCCGAGUUACUGAUCAGAAGGUCGGGGGUUCAAGCCCCAGCACUGCCA